GCGCGACCGGAAGUGACGCAACGGAGGCGGCGGCGGCUCCGGCGGGUUAAUUAAGGGCCAUGGGGGAGCUGAGUGACCUGGACCGGCAAAUCGAGCAACUGCGGCGCUGCGAGCUCAUCAAAGAGAGCGAGGUGAAGGCUCUGUGCGCCAAGGCCAGGGAGAUUCUGGUGGAGGAGAGCAACGUGCAGAGAGUGGAUUCACCCGUCACGGUGAGUG